GACGAACGCUGGCGACGCGCUUAACACAUGCAAGUCGAACGGAAAGGCCUGCUUUCCCUUGUGGAUUGCGGGUACUCGAGUGGCGAACGGGUGAGUAACACGUGAGUGAUCUGCCCCCAACUUGGGUAUAAGCCUGGGAAACUGGGUCUAAUUCCCGAUAGGACUGCAGGGUGGUGCCUGUGGUGGAAAACGAUUUUCUAGUGGUUGGGGAUGAGCUCGCGGCCUAUCAGCUUGUUGGUGGGGUAAUGGCCUACCAAGGCGGCGACGGGUAGCCGGCCUGAGAGGGUGGACGGCCACAUUGGGACUGAGAUACGGCCCAGACUCCUACGGGAGGCAGCAGUGGGGAAUAUUGCACAAUGGGCGGAAGCCUGAUGCAGCGACGCCGCGUGGGGGAUGACGGCCUUCGGGUUGUAAACUCCUUUCGACCGCGAGGAAGCCACCUGGUUGGAAGGGUGGUGACGGUAGUGGUAGAAGAAGUACCGGCUAACUACGU
rnacentral:rRNA from 1 species